rnacentral:rRNA from 1 species
GAUGAACGCUGGCGGCGUGCCUAAUACAUGCAAGUCGAGCGAACAGACGAGGAGCUUGCUCCUCUGACGUUAGCGGCGGACGGGUGAGUAACACGUGGAUAACCUACCUAUAAGACUGGGAUAACUUCGGGAAACCGGAGCUAAUACCGGAUAAUAUCUUUAACCGCAUGGUUCAAUAGUGAAAGACGGUUUUGCUGUCACUUAUAGAUGGAUCCGCGCCGCAUUAGCUAGUUGGUAAGGUAACGGCUUACCAAGGCAACGAUGCGUAGCCGACCUGAGAGGGUGAUCGGCCACACUGGAACUGAGCAACGGUCCAGACUCCUACGGGAGGCAGCAGUAGGGAAUCUUCCGCAAUGGGCGAAAGCCUGACGGAGCAACGCCGCGUGAGUGAUGAAGGUCUUCGGAUCGUAAAACUCUGUUAUUAGGGAAGAACAAAUGUGUAAGUAACUAUGCACGUCUUGACGGUACCUAAUCAGAAAGCCACGGCUAACUACGUG